rnacentral:rRNA from 1 species
GACGAACGCUGGCGGCGUGCUUAACACAUGCAAGUCGAACGAUGAAGCCGGAGCUUGCUCCGGUGGAUUAGUGGCGAACGGGUGAGUAACACGUGAGCAAUCUGCCCUUGACUCUGGGAUAACUGCGGGAAACUGUAGCUAAUACCGGAUACGACACCUUGGGGCAUCCCAGGGUGUGGAAAGAAUUUCGGUCAAGGAUGAGCUCGCGGCCUAUCAGCUAGUUGGUGAGGUAAUGGCUCACCAAGGCGACGACGGGUAGCCGGCCUGAGAGGGGGACCGGCCAACCUGGAACUGAGACACGGGCCAGGCGCCGACGGGAGGCAGCAGUGGGGAAUAUUGCACAAUGGGCGAAAGCCUGAUGCAGCAACGCCGCGUGAGGGAUGAAGGCCUUCGGGUUGUAAACCUCUUUUAGCAGGGAAGAAGCGAAAGUGACGGUACCUGCAGAAAAAGCACCGGCUAACUACGUGCCAGCCGCCGCCGUAA